GAGAGAGAGAGAGAGAGAGAAAGUUGUCGGGAAUGCUGCAGGGUAUUUGGUGACAGUUGUCCUAGAUAAGGACUGUAAAUCUCAACUACAGUAGGAACAAUGGUGAGCCGCUGUUAGAGGUCACUGGGUUUCAACUCCUGUUCAGGACCAUCACAACUGCAGUCGGCAAAGAGAACAGUGAGUACCAGAGCAGAGGGCUGUCAGUCAGACACAUCCCUGAGAUCCUCUGCCUGCUGUACCUUCGUCUUCUCACUGCACCACAAACAUUGCCCUGUGAAUUUUGUUAGCAGCUCCAGAAAUAAAGUACAUGGACUUCCUUGGUUGGCCUGGAAUUUGGAACCUGCUGUGUAGAUCAGGUUGGCCCAUGGAUCUUUUACCCACACCACCGUUCCGUUUGGUUGACUGCCAUUGCUAGUGCGGGGAUGGGAAGGCAUGCUGGGGAAUGGAGAGGGCUGAGACGUGUGGCAGCUCCAGAGCAAAGCAUAUGCUGUCUGGAAGGCCUCGACAGAGAGAAGGGCAUAAAACAAAUGGAGUUCAUGAAUAUACAAUUUUUAUGGUACACAAUAGUGACAUCUAGACUUCAGAGACUAGGUGGGUGAGCCUGAGACUUUACUAUUGAGAUUAAUGGGUACGUAAAAAGGUGCCAACAGAGGGUACUACAGUUUAUGUUAAAAAUGUCGAUGUGGAUAAGAAUAAUUUUCUUCUCAAGAUGGAUGAUGUGCUUAAUGGCUGGGAGACAUUUGGGCUCAGUAGCAGCGCCUCCAAAGUAAUUUUUUUGUUGUUAUUGUAAAUUAUAUAAUCUUAGCUGCAAUUAUAGUUCUGCUCCAGUAAAGGUCAAGUUAGCGCCGUAGAUGGUUAUGAAGCAAAAAUGGAAAUUCCAAUAUGGAUUCCCUUGGAGAUAACUUAUGAAUGAUUUCAAGUAAGAUGAUUUUUUUGGUAACUCUAUUUCUCACUUAAUGUGAUACAGCAAGUAAAGACAGCACACAUUAACAAAACACAAAUUAGAUUUCUCUAAGUAAACAUGUAUCUUGUGGACUACGUGGGGCUGCUGGAGAGAGGACAGUAUGAAGGUUAAAGGCACCAGGCAAAUGGGGACAGUUUAUGUUGAGGAAAAUCAGAAGCAGAAGUAUCAGGGAAUUCUUCUAUUCUUCGAUGGGUUUAAAUCCCUGCUUGGGUUUGGUUUCCAGAACACGAAGUCCGACGUGGCUUCUGCCCUUGGCUCUCUAAAGUUUUCUCUGACAUUGAGACUUAGCCCACCGUCUGGAAAGGCGUGGGCGUGAUUGUCUCAAUCACUGGUUGCUAAGCAGUAGGUUCUGGAUCUUCCUGUGGUAAUGAGUUUGAAGGGAUUCCAUCCAGGUCCAAUUUUAAUCUCAAUCUUUUCCUUUAUGUCACAAAGAAAUGUAAAUGCCAAGCUCACAAUAUGAAACACGUGGAUGAAGAAGGUGCCAGACUUUAAAGAUUUCUUUCUUUUAAUAUAGUUCAAAACUCUACAGCAAUAUUCUUAGAAUUAAUUGUGGCGAUGCAUCUUGAGAGCUUCGAGUUUUAAUUAUGCAGUUUUUAUCUACUAGAACUUUCUCAUGGUUCCAAUCCACAGGAAAGUUUACAGGAUACAUUAAGAAAUAGAUGUGGCCAGAGUGACCUUUCUACUUUAUAGAUCACCAGUGAUUAGAGUUGCAGUUUCUCCUACAAGAUGCUAGUCCCGGCAUCUCUCGGGAAAGAACUCUGCUGCUGAUCCACCGCCCAUGUACCCCUCCUUGUUCCCUUUCAAAUUCAUGGCCCCCUUUUGUAAGUACACACACACACACACACACACACACACACACACACACACACACACACACACACACGUAUGUCCCUAAAUGCAUAAACACAAUCUGCUCCAUCUGUACAAUGGUACUUGUAUUUUUUUCCCAGAACUGACCAUUUGGUAUUGGAUGACCAGUUGGUACCUGGAGAAGACUAUUUCUUUGUAUUUCAGCAUUUCUCCAUCGCCUUUAUGUAGGGCUGAGGCCUCCUGGAUCCCUCCACCCCCAGCCUCUGUCCAUGUGAACAUGUCUUUUGUUGUCCAUGUUCAACAACCUAGGAGAGAUGGAGUCAUUCUUUGGAAGACAUGUGAUACCAUCUCAAGCCAAAUGUGUGUGCCUGUUCAUGAACACAUACGUGUGCAUCUACACAUGCAUAUGUAUCCAUAAAUAUUCUCAUGAUUUUAAA